CCCUCGGUGCCGGCAGCAGCCUCCUGUGGCUCCUAAGGAUUCAUGCUCCGCUGGCCCAUCUGUGCGUGCGCUGCCGCUGCUGCCGCCGCCUCCUCGCCCAUCCUUCAGGAGCUCCCUCCAGGGCGCAGGCUGUCGCUCAGGCUGUUGCUCCCACACGCGCAGAGGCGCCUCUGCCGCCGGCUCCCCGCCCCUCCCAAGCUGCCGCCGGGGAACGCGACGGCCCCGCAACCGCGGCCCUCUCCGCAGGGAGAGGAUGCUGGGCCGGCCCGGGACGCCGCUCUGCUGUUGCCACCGAGGGUGGGGGCGCCGGCUCAGGCGGGCUCCUGGCCCCCCAUGGGCAGCGCCGUUGCGGCACCGCCGCGCUCCACACCCUGCGGCGCUCGGUCCCGCUUGCGGGGCCGCUGAGGCACUAAGCGAUGGCUCCGGAGGACUGCGGAGGGAUUCCUGUUCGCCACAUGGGCUGCUCCCGCGGUUGUCGGAACAAGGUGUUACGGGAUCAUCCUGACGCCGUUCCAAGGGUAAAAGACAACAGCAGCCUCUCUGGGGGUGACAUUUCCUUGUCUGACCUCGUCACUACCCCUGCACAGAGCCACCAUUAUGAAAUAAUAAUCGCUUAACCUUUACUAGGAGUUCCUGUUGCUGCAUCUGGCUGAGGUCGGCUUAUCUUUGCUUUCUACUUUAGUGAUGGUAAUGAGAUUUUAUGAGUUCUCAAAAGGUUUUUAUGGGGCUCUCUAAUGCACACAUCCACCUCCACUGUUUUGUGCAGUACACCACCAGUUGUCUAGCUGUGUGAGUUUCUCACAUCUCAUUCUAAUCUACUCCUUCAGUCCAUUCCUUUAAGGGAGGGCUUCUUUUCUCCAGAGGGGAGGAAGAAGAGGUCUCUGAAUAGAAAAGAAUUCAGACAGUAACAUGGAGAUGGGAAAAUACUACAUUACUGUAGUCCAGUGCACCUCAAGCAGUUCCUUCCCAGGAGGCUGUUGUAGGGGAAUUAAGCAGAUGACUUUUAGAUGCAGAAAACAGGUUGUAAAGAAACUGCAUGGCACAGCUGCCACAUGUAACCCCAAAUUGGGCUGCCACAUCUGCUACACCCCUUCCCAUGUCUUCCAAAUGUUAUGACAAGUUCACAUCCCCCUGGACAUGGGCACAGAACUUGGUCCUGACAGUCGUUUGCUCCGUGUCCCUGGGAUGGUGUUUAAGGAGAACGCUUUUCACAUCUGAACACAUGCAUACAGAUCCUUUCAUCCAUCAGUGAACACCAGGAGAGGAACAAGCGCAGGAGCAGCAUCUUCAGAAAGUGCCAGGUACUUGAAGUUCUUUCAGCUAAUGGAAACCACAAGCUCUGUGCAAUGAACAAGACCUGGCCAAUGAACAACGGUAGCACAGCACAGCUCAGAAGCUUUUACAUGGUGCAGCUUCUUCUAUAUUCUGGUCUGGUAGAUGACAAGGUCUGAGUUUCUCAAGCCACAGAUGUGGCAUAUGUUUCCCUUGCUGUAGUUUCAGAAGGCCUAAAAGAUUUGCCAGGGAGGCUGAAAUUUUAAAGUCUCUUCCUCUACUUCAUGCAUUCAGAAGAUCUGAGCUAGCAAGUAUUUAUUUGACUCUAUGUACUGUUGCAGCUGAGCACUGUAGACACUGGUUUCAUGAGCACUUCAAAUGCAAACAGGACCACUAGCCAUCCCUAUAAUACUGUACUCAUGAAUACAAAGGAUGGUCCUAAACAAAAACACAGACUGAACCAAAGCAAAUAUACCACAGGGUAUAGGGUGUACGUUAAAAAUAACAUCAUUUGAAUGCAUUUGUGCAUUUUCACACAGAUUUGAACAGGGAUGGGAGACUUAUUAUGAUCACUUGUACAACACUGAUUUUAAAUCCUGCUGCUCAAAAAGCAACAAACACAUACACUGAGAGGUCUUGUUUAUAAAUGUCACACUCUAUAUCCAGAGAAAAGACCUUUCUGUUACCUGCGUAACUGUUAUCUGUUGCUGUUACCUCUAUAAACAAAACUCCUCUUGUUUAUAUAAACAGGUCUCCGUUGUAUAAAUAUUUAUGAUUAAACUCACAUACUGAGGUAAACUCCUUGAUAUCAACUGCUGAGACUUACAUAACCAGUGAAAAGCUUGCUAAACUGGAAUGAUCUGCUAAAGACAAAGCAUAUGGAAGUCAGGGAAUUUACCACAGGAGAGAAGGAGGAAGAUAUCAGGAGAUAUUCUGAAGACAGCAGCAGUAAGCACUGUUAAAACACA